UACGGGGGGGGGCAAGCGUUGUUCGGAAUUAUUGGGCGUAAAGAGCUCGUAGGCGGUCUGUCGCGUCGGCUGUGAAAUCCCGAGGCUCAACCUCGGGUCUGCAGUCGAUACGGGCAAACUAGAGUAUUGCAGGGGAGACUGGAAUUCCUGGUGUAGCGGUGAAGUGCGCAGAUAUCAGGAGGAACACCGGUGGCGAAGGCGGGUCUCUGGGCAAUAACUGACGCUGAGGAGCGAAAGCGUGGGGAGCGAACAGG
rnacentral:rRNA from 1 species